rnacentral:lncRNA from 10 species
GCCCGGCCUCCCGGGACCCGGCACCUCUAGCCAGGGACGCGCGCUCGGUCCCCCGCCGUGCGCCCCCGGUCCCGCGCCCAGGCUCCCGCCCCUGGCCUCCUUACCAGCCACUUGUCGCCCAGCUGCGAACUGGAGCGGGAGGCGGCGGCCGGAGGGCCCAGGACAGCCCCGGGAGGGCGGCGAGGCGGAGCAGGAGCGCCCCGGCUCCGGCCACAUUCUCAGAGUCAGGAAAAGGGGCGAGAGGCCACAUGUCUCCCUCUCGCCCAACUGAAAACGAAACGGCGCUCCAGCAGAUUGGGUGGAAAGAGCUGGGUCUCUUUUCUCUGUUUUUCACGCUAGAAAGGGCUUGUAAACAUUGUUCCUUUUAAAAUGACCUACCCCAGGCAUUUGUUUGGGCACACUUCUGUCCUGGGGUCAUCGUUCCUAGGUGGCUUCGGACCUGGGACUUUUCCUGUAUCUGCACAUUGUCGUUUUAUACACAAUUGCCAAGGUGGGACUGCUUUCAACUUUACUGUGCUUGAAGCUGCAAAGGUUCUGCCCUGAUGUUUCCUGGAAUAAUGCUGAGGACUGCCUUUCGGGUAGCCGCCCUAUUCAGUUCACUUCAUCUCGGAAAUACCUGACCCCUGCCUUGGAUCCAGCGGCCCUCCUGAGAGCUGAGGAAGGAGGAAAUCCUAUGUGUCUGCUCCCGGAGCUGCCACAACCCAUCUUCCCACAACUCGGAACUUGGAAAAAGGAACCCAGGACACGACUUUGCUUUUCUUUUGGACCUAGUUGAUACAAGUUAACAGGAUAUGCUUCUGGCCUGUUUCUGGAUUCUAAGGGUAGAACCAGCAUAAAACUAGUCAGUCCAAGUAUUUCUAAAGAUCCACAGACACAGUUCUCCUGGAUUUGGGAAGCCUAGAGAUAUUAGCACAAUAAUUAAGGCCCAAGUGAGUAUAAAAUUUUAUCUGAAAUUGAAGAGAUAUUGAUUAGAUAAUCCACAGAGACUACUUUUUAGUGAUUAUCUUCCACCAGGGUAAAAGCAACAGCAGCCUGAAAAUGCAAAAGACCAUACAUUUUAAUGGUAAGUCCUCCCCAGGAAGGAUUAAUAAAUCUCAGGAGGAAGAUUUAUUAUCUGUAAAUCCAGGAGGAAGAAAUCAAGAUGAAAACUAUCAUAUUUAUAAAUUUGAUUGUUGCAAUUUUAUAGUUUGACAUAGUGCAAUUGCUUUAGAUUUGAAGGGGAACUUACUUUAGAGUAAGUCACUCAAUCUCUUUUUUGGAAAGGCAAAUGCCACACCUGAUCCUCAUCACUCCCUUCUCCUUUGUCCAUAGCCUGGCUUUAUUCUGCCAUUAACACACACACACACACACACACACACACACACACAAAUUGGGAAGAGGAUUUCUCAUUUUACAGAAAGUAUGCUGGGCUACACAGGAUAUUCUAUCAGGUUUCUUCCAGCUAUAAAAUUCUGAGACUAAAUAUCAAAUUAAAGAAAGUACUAAUUGUCAGCGAUGGGGGAUGUACUGCUAUUUGCUUCUAGUGGUACUCACUGCUCAUUUCCUAUAUUCACUGGUAUAAAAAAAUUUCAAACACCCUCAAAAAAGCCUAUACUGGUGGUACCAGGAAAACGCUGAAAAUCAUUACUUUCUGUGUGGUGUCCAGCUCUUUUGGUUACAUCAUCACUUCGACCAUUCACUUUUAAAGAAAAACUUUUGUGGAACAAAAAUAUAAAGAUUUAUUUUUUUUCUUGGUGGCUUAGCACAGUGGCCUAAUGUGGCUGACCAUGUGCACCUGUUGUGUGAGUCACUUAGACGUGCUUUGUUUCUUGGUCACAGUUGAUCCCUCAACUCAAGCAUCUCACCCUCAAAAUGUUUGUUUGGGACCCAAGAGGCAAACCUUGAGAUGGGUUAUUUCUUUCACCUUGGAUUGGCUCAUCUGCUGGGAGUGGAGCCAAGCUGACAUUUCCUUUCCUUUUUGUCUGCCUAUCACUACGUAGAGGCAGCACAUAAGAGAGGGAAAGCCAUGCGCGUGGAGUCCAGCACAUCACCCAGAAGGCAGAUGUUCUAUCUCCAUUUUACUCAUUAAAACAAACAAAACCACACCUGGAUUGCCUGGUACUUAAAUAAAAUGCACUAUGAUGAUUGAAGAAAAAUAUCUUAUAUUUAAGGAAUAGUUUUAAUAGCUUACAUCUGUAUUUCUAUUAGCUUCCGUUUCUAUUUUUAAUAUUUGUAUAAUAUUAAAAGUAAUUUUAAAAAUGAACUAAUCUUUUUACAUCUCUUAUGAGAAUUUAAUGGAGAUAUGAUGUUUGAAGAUCAAAGAUACGUGGUAUUUGAAAUCAGAAAAUGUGUUUGCUUUUCUACACAGAUUACAAAUAUCAUGCAUUAUUUCACAAACUCUUCUCAAAGUGUUGAUUUUAAAAUUAGUAAAAGGAGGGUAUAUUCAUAUCACAUCCUGGCAUUUUUAUAGGCAAGAUUGAGCAGCUAUAACCUCUAAAGUGCUUUGAUCCCUAUAAGCCUCAAGAAGAGAAUGGUGCAAUUUGAAUUAAUAACUACCCAUUAUAGAGCAUUUGUAUCACAGUAUUUUCCAAAUACUAUCUUAUUUAACCCUACAGCAAUCCUAUGAUAUGGGGAUUAUGUACACAUUACAGAUGAGAACUUGAGGCUCGGAGAAAGUAAAUAACUUACACAAGAUCACAAAGCAAGUGACUGCCAGAGCCAGGAUCAGAACCCAGUCAGGCUUCAUUAGGAGCUCUGCUGAACUCUGUCUAGAGAAUUCUCACCACCUGCUGCAAAGGCUAAAAGAAAGGGUCAUAUUCCACAUGUAGAUUUUGAGAAAUAUUUGUUAUUUUUCUUAUGAUAAAGGUUAUGCAUACACACUCACACACACACACACACACACACAACUAGAAAUUACAGAAAAGAAAAAAGAUUAGCCAGAAUGUCACCACCUAAAGACAGAUAAUAUUUUGGUGUUUUCAAAUAUUCUUUUAUCUAUACUUUUUUGAAUUAUUUUAUUUUAAAAAUAACUUUUACUGGUUGCCUGAUUAUGAAGUAAUAAAUAUUCACCAUAAAUAUUUUGAAAAAUAUAAAACUGUCUAUAAAAGAAAUUUGAAAUGAUUGCUAAUCUCAAAAUAUAGAUACCUGUCAGUACUUUGGCAUUUUAUCCUCCUUGUGGCUGAGGUCACAUAUCUUGAGACUGAAGCACAAAAUUUCUAUACCAUACAGUUUAUAGUUUAGGCCACAACAUCAUUUUUAAAAUUGUUUCUUUGGUUUUUACUUGAUUUGCUGAUGUUUUAUUUUUUAGAAAAUUGCAGAUGUGAUUUUUAGGCAGCUGAUUGGAAUGUUCUGGUUGCUCUGAAUAGGACUAGCUACUUUGUUUUUUACUGAAGGACAAAUAUUAUUCCUACACACAUAAAAAACCUCAAAGAAUGAGUAAUGAUACUGUUUAAAUCUGCCCUUAUAACUCCAAAGAAUGACUUCAAAUUUUCUUUCUUCCAAAGCAACUUUUAAAAGCCUUUCCACUGCACAGUGAAAGAAAACCACAAACUCCUUGUUUAAUAAGUGGGAUCACGUGCUUUUAACACGAGGAAAAGGUCAAUCUGAAGCAACUGAUAUGGAACUGCCAGAGUAGGAGUUGAAAAUCUUCCUAAACUGCUGGAGGAUACACCUCUGAUAGCUUGAGACAAAUAUCCUCUUGAUCAUUGUUUCACCAUAUUUGUCUUUGCUCAUGGAGAACCAUUUUGAUCCGUGGUUUAGCCUCCCAGGUGAUUGAACAAUACCGGUGAUCUGAGGCAGACCCUCUGUGACGGAUAACAGGAAAGAAUAUUGAUUGAACAUCUACUCAAGAACUGCAAAACAGAGAUUACCUGACCUAAAGGUAAGUAUUGGCAACAGAGGAGACAAACUUGGGAGCAGGCAGCUAUAGCACAACACGGUGCAGCCAUACCUAGGAGAGGGAGACGGGAGUCCCAGGAAGGAUCACCUAACACAGCCUGGAGAAGAGCUGAGAGGGGAAAGCCUUAGAAAAAGGGCCACAUGAGAUAAGUCUUUAACAGUAAGUGGGAGUUAACCAGAUGGAAAAUGGGCAGCAGCAAUUUUGGACAGAGCAGCAGGUGGAAAGUCAAGGGGCCAUGAGAAAGCAGGAUGCUUGUGGGAACUGCUGGAGACGGAUGGUGGUGAGUGGAUGGGAUUCUAAUCAGGACCAUGUUUGUCCUCAAUUUCUCCAGGGUGGCAUGCACACAACAGCAAAAAUGCCUAUGUAUUCCACGCUGGGCACUGUACUAGGAGUUUCACACAUAUGAUCACAUUUCAUCUUCAUUUUACAACCAAGGAAGUGGUCUAGGCUAGACUUGACCCUGAGUUGCCAUCUCCUUGUAUUUGCCCUUGACACUGUUACUACAUGGAAUUAUAAGAUCCACUCUGCUUACCACACAUCUGUUGUGAUGGUCAAAUGAUGCAAAGUAUGUGAAAGCACUCACAGAACUACAAAAUGCUUCAUGUAUAAAGUCUUGUUUCAACAAUACAGGUCUUUUAGUGGAAAACUAGAAUUAAUAAUGCUGUACUGAUAAUUUCCACUGUAUUUCUAGUUGGUGUGAGGUCAGGGAUCUGAGGUAGCAGAGAAAGGAGGGAGGCAAUUUACACUCGGGGAAUAUAUUUUUAAAUGUCCCACCACUGCUACUGCAACAGAAGCUCAUCCUUUUUGCUGAGUUUUCAGGGGAAAUCAAACAGCUGUGUAUCCUGUGCUUGGCCUUCAAAGUAUUCAUAAUCUGAACUACUUUUACCUAUUUUCCAGUUCUUCCAAAUACCCAUUUUCUGUUUUUAUUUUCCAGAUGACUAUGAUCCUGUUUCUUGAAAUGUUUCUUUUUUUAACUAAAAAAGUUUUUAAAUGCAUCUCAGGUCUGGGUGCACCAUGGUUACAAUUAGGCCAAGAAAAAUAUUCUCUCCACUAGGUUUUUUAAAUGUUCACCUCCACUUCUUGACUUAACACUUGCCCAAAACAAAACGGAUCUCUUUUGCAGAUGAAUAUGGUACCCCUGACAACACAGUGGGUUGGUUCAGUAGCAUCCAUUCAACAUAUAUUUAUUCAGCAUUACGAAAUAUCAGGUGCUAUGAUGGAUGUUAUAUAUAAAGUGAUAAACAAGGUAAAUAUUGGGCUCAUAUUCUAUUGAUGGAGACAGACAUAAAAAAUUGUCACAUGAAUAAACAUACAAUGAAUAUAUAAAUACAAUGAUGGAAAAGAAAAAUUGUUAUACGCAAGAGUCAGUUGCUUCUUUAAUUGCAUGGUUAAGGAUGCCCGCUCUGUGGAAGAGAUAGUUUAACUGAGACUUGAAGAUGAGAAGGAGCCAGUCAGGCAAAGAACUGGUAUGGAUAUGGGGUAGAGAGUGGUCCAGGUGAAAUGUGAUAAUCCUAAGGCCAGAAAUCAUUUUGGGGAUUUGGGGAUCUGAAAGAAUGUUAAAAUGGUCAACAUACUGUGAGUUAGGGAUUGAGGCUAGAGAGGCAGGUAGGGUCCAGAGCAUUCAGGCAGAAACAACAGGAAGUGUGGGUGCUGAGUAAUCAAAAGGAUGGACUGAGCUGGUUACUAAGUUACUGCUUCUCAGCUUCAAAGCUGUCCUUCCACACCCAUUUCUUCUGGAUGCUGAGAUGGAGACUCUAUAUCACAAAAUUUCUGCAUUAUCAGCUGCCAACCUGCUAAGCUCUGCUGAAGGAAGACACUAAGGGACACUGAAAGGCUAGAGGCAUCAUAGGAAGAGACCUGCUCUUUCCUUUUUGCUUCCAGUUCCUGUUGGCAAGGUUCUAGCAAAGAUGAUACUAAUACACCUUGGCAGUGACAGUAGAUUUCAGUUUGCACGUUUCCUAAUAUUGCUAGGUUCAGCUUCACUCCCAUUCCAAACCCAUCCUGAGACAGGAGCAACGGCUGGCUGGAGAGUCCUCCUUAGAGGUCUAAGUCCUGCUUUAUGGAAUAUUUCCUCCAGGUGUCUCAUAAUCCCAAGCUCUUAAUAACUCCAACCUUAUCUCUGUGUUCCCCCAGACCUAAGGCAGAUAGUUUUUCACCGCAUUUAAUAGUUUUGUGAUAUCUUAAUGUUUUCUUUUUGUCUUUUUGCAUUCUCUAACAUCUGGUUGAAAUUAUUUAUAUUAAAUUCAUUUUGUUAAAAUAACUAGUGAGAUUUCUGUCUUUUGACUAGAUCCCAAUUGAUACAGAUGAUGUUAGGAAAUGGAGACAAGUGAUUUUCAAGUUUCUAGCUAAGUUGGGUGGAUGAAAUGCCAUUUUCAUGGGAAGACUUGAAUAAGAAUAUUUUGCUAUCUUAGAUAAGCAAAAGUUUAGUUUUGGACAUGUAAGGUAUGAAAUGCCUUAAAUGAGACAUUUAAAUGGAGAUGCAGCAGAAGCAGUCAGAUAGACAAAUUUAGAGCUCAGGGAUAUGGCUGCAACAAGUAGGUGAAACUACACAGGAGAUGGAAAGAUUGGAAAAAACCCAGAAAAGUUUUGUGGUCUGGAAGCCACGAGAAGAAUGUUUCAAGAAGAGGAUGUGUGGUGCUGCAUAAAAAUAGACAUAUAAAUCAAUAGAAGAGAAUUGAGAACACAGAAAUAACCCCUCACAUUUAUGGUCAAUUGAUUUUUAGCAAGGUUGCCGAAACAAUCAACAGAAUAGAAUUUUUUUUAACAAAUGGUGCAUGAACAACUGGAUAUCUACAUGCAAAAGAAAACAGCUGGACCCUUCCUCACAUAAUAUGCAAUUAUUAACUCAAAAUGGACCAAACACCUAAAUGUGAGAGUUAAAACUGUAAAAAUCUUAGAAGAAAACAUAGGGGUAAAUCUUUGAGACUCUGGAUUAGGCAAUGUUUUAUUAAAUACAAUGCCAAAUGCACAAACAACAAAAGGAAAAAAAAUGGAACUUCAAAAAUGAAAACAUGUGCUUCAAAAGAUAUCAUCAAGAAAGUGGAAAAACAACCAAGAGACUUGAAGAAUAUAUUUGCAAAUCAUAUAUCUGAUAAAGGACUUGUGUCUAGAAUAUAUAAAUAACACAACUCACUAAUUAAAAAAAAAACACCAAGUCAACCAUUUAAAAAAAUGGGCAAAAGAUCUAAAUACACAUUUUCCAACGUAGAUAUAAAAAUAACCUGUACAUACAUGAAAGGAUGUUCAACCUCAUUAGUCAUCAGAAAAAUGCCAGUGAAAACCACAACCACUUCACACCCACUAGGAUGGCUGUAAUUUUUUUUAAAAAAAACAGAUAUAAUAAGUGUUGAUGAGAAUGCAGAGAAAUUAGAACUUUUAUUCAUUGCUGAUGGGAAUGUAAGAAUGGUUUAGUCACUUUGAAAAACAGUCUGGCAGUUCCUCAAAAGGUUAAACACAGAGUUAACAUAUGACCCAGCACUUCUACUCAUAGGCAUAUACCCAAAAGAAAUGAAACAUAUGUCCACACAACGACUUGUACAUGAAUGACCACAGCAGCAUUGUUCAUAAUAGCUAAAAGCUGGAAAUAACCCAAAUGCCCGCCAUGUGAUUAAUAGAUAAGCAAAAUGUGGUAGAUCUAUACAGUGAAAUAUUAUUUGGCAAUAAAAAGGAAUGGAAUACUGAUAUAUACUACAACAUGGCUGAACUUUGCAAACAUACUCUGUGAAAGAAGCCAGUCAUAAAAGAUCACAUGAUAUAUAAUUCAAUUUAUAUGAAAUAUCCAGAAUAGAUAAAUCUCUAGAGACAGAAAGUGGAUUACUGGUUUCUUAGGGCUGGAAGGAGGGCUGGGGGGAUUAGAGAGUGAUGGGUAGUGGGUACAGGUUUCUUUCUGGGGUGAUGAAAUAUUCCAAAACAGAUUGUGUUAAAAACCACCACAUUGUAUACUUUAAAUGAAUUAUUUGCAUGGUAUGUAAAUUAUAUCUCAAUAAAGUUGUUACAAUGAAUACAUAUUCUUGUAGCAAAAAAUAAAAGAUGAGAUAGUGAAAUGCACAAAAUGCUACUAAAAGGUGGUGUAAAAUCAGGAUACAAAUAUCCAACAUAUUUGGUAACACGCAAGAGAGCGGUCACUUUGAUAAGAGCUGGUAGAGCAGGCUUACCUGAAAAGCCUCUAAGAAUUUCCAGGCCAUGAAGAGUGUUUAUUGGAGAUUUAUCAACAUGAGUUCAAAAUGAGACCAAUCUGUGAACUAGAGCAGACCCCAAAUAUUGGUCUGGGUGAAAAAAUCGACAAAAAUAAGGACUUGGGCUUGCCUAAUGUUGCUUUCACUAGGUUUUACCAUGUACUUAGCAAGAAAGUAAAGGAGACAUUUAAAAUAUGAACAUUUUGUAAUGGGGUAAGGGAUCAUUGUUCUCUGAUCCCUUACCUGUUCCUGCUAUAGAUGAAUCCAGGAUUCGGUGGUGCCUGUUCCAGGAACCUUUAGUGUGAAGGAUCCUCCAGGUGAGAGAAGCCUUUAUGUCUUCUGAAAUGGUUCUGCUGUGUCCCCACCCAAAUCUUGUAUUGAAGCUCCCAUAAUUCCCGCGUGCUGUGGGAGGGACCCAGUGGGAGAUAAUUGAAUCAUGGAGGCAGUUUCCCCCAUACUGUUCUUGUGGUAGUGAAUAAAUCUCACCAGAUCUGAUGAUUUUAUAAGAGGUUUCCCCUUUCACUUGGCUCUCUCAUUCUCUCUUGCCUGCCGCCAUAUAAGAUGUGCCUUUUGCCUUCCACCAUGAUUGUGAGGCCUCCCCAGCCACACAGAACUGUGAGUCCAUUAAACCUCUUUUUCUUUAUACAUCAGCCAGUCUUGGGUAUGUCUUUAUCAGCAGCAUGAAAACAGACUAAUCCACCUUCUUUGGGCUUGAUGGGUGGGGAUAGGGAGAGGUGGAGAUAACCUGCCUCACUGAGACCUAUCAUCUGGGUUCUAAGUGCAUAAUUCCUUGCUGGCCCCAGAUACUGAACCAAGUUCUCCUGUGUUUAAUUUCUUGCCUUUCCUUCGUGUCUACUCGAAGUUUCAUGGCAUCAGACGAAUCUCUGCCCCAGCGGGGUCAUAUGAAUUUCUUCUGAAACACUCAAAUGCAUAGGGCAAUGAGAGAGUGGAGCAUCAGCAGGCUGACAUCUGUUCUUUAAGAACUCUUUAGCAGAAAUAGUCAGACAUAAAUGUGCAUGCUCAUUUAAGCUACGCUCUAGGACACAGUUUCUCUAAUGGCAUCUUGUGAGAUGUCACUGGUGAUUCUGCAAGGGAGUGUGAAUGAAAAAGUAAACCCUAAUUAAAAAAAUUUUUUUUGCAGUAGGUUACUGGGGGUACAGGUGAUGUUUGGUUACAGUUCUUUAGUGGUGAUUUGUGAGAUUUUGAUGCACCCAUCACCCGAGCAGUAUACACUGCACCCUAUUUGCAGUCUUUUAUCCCUUGACCCCUCCCACCCUUUCCCCCAAGUCUCCAAAGUCCAUUGUAUCAUCCUUAUGCCUUUGUGUCCUCACAGCUUAGCUACCACAUAUCAGUGAGAACAUACAAUGUUUGCUUUUCCAUUCCUGAGUUACUUCACUUAGAAUAAUAGUCUCCAAUCUCAUCUGGGUCACUGCAAAUGCCGUUCAUUCAUUCCUUUUUAUGGCUGAGAAGUAUUCCAUUGUAUAUUUCUACCACAGUUUCUUUAUCCACUUGUUGAUUAAUAGGCAUUUGGGUUGGUUCCACAAUUUUGUGAUUGUGAAUUGUGCUGCUAUAAAUCUGCAAGUAUCUUUCUCGUAUAAUGACUUUUCGUAUGAAUCUGCAAGUAUCUUUUUCUUAUAAUGACUUCUUUUCCUCUGGGUAGAUGCCCAGUAAUGCGAUUGCUGGAUCAAAUGGUAGUUCCAUUUUAGUUCUUUAAGGAAUCUCCACAGUGUUUUCUAUAGUGGCCAUACUAGUUUACAUUCCCACCAGCAAUUAGAAGUGUUCCCUGAUCACUGCAUCCACGCCAACAUCUACUGUUUUUUGAUUUUUUGAUUAUGGCCAUUCUUGCAGGAGUAAGUUGGUAUCACAUUACGGAUAAACCCCAGUUUUUGAACUUCACAUACUGCACAAUGCUGGUGAUGUAGCAGCCCUGUUGGGAUUUUGUUAGGGAUCCUUAAUCCUUGUUGUGUUGCUGUGAACAGGACUGUGUUUAUUUGCAGGAGUCCAUUCUCAAUUUUCUGUGCAAAUUGGGGAAGGCUGUUGAUAAUCGGUGGAUGCUAUAGUGCCCAUGGAAAGACUCUAGUCUGAAGAUACCAGUCUCUCCCUCCCAAGAUCACCUCCCCUGACCAACCUUCUGCACUCCUGACAGAUACAAGGGAGCAAGCAAGUUGCACCCAACCUAAUAGUAAAUUGCAGGGACAUUUCCAUUCUAAGGAAGGAAUUUUUGUGUGUGUUGCAACUCAGCUUCUGCUCUGGCAUUUUGCUGUGCAUUUAUAUUGCCAAUCAUGUUGGAGAGUCCAUGUGGUGAUUUCUGAAAACGAGAUGUGAGAAAGAAGAGGAUAAUUUAAGUCUAGACCUACAGAUUGUGCUGAUAAAGUGAUGAAGAACUACAAUCUUCUUAGUCAUUUCAUUGUAUAAGUGCAAUAAAGGAUUUUGUGUCUUUCCUGGCAAACAACUUGUGACCACAGUGAUGGCUCCAGCAGAAUGGAAAAGACCCUUUACCUCACAUCUCAGAAGUAAAGAUGCUGAUUAUUUGACAUCGCCAUUGGAAUCUCAAAACAGUGUAAAGCAUUUGCUAAAAAGAGUCACUUUCUGAGAAAUGACUCAGAAUUCGACUUACGUACUAGCAGAACUUAUUGCCCAUAAAAGGAAAGGCCACACUUUUUGUGAAAACUUAAUAAUCCCUAGGAUGUAAAAUUAUACUGAGUUAAAUCCUAGUCCCAUUUUUAGUACAAGAAACUGGAAAAAAAUAAUCCACUCUCAAAUGGUAAGACAAAUUGAGAUAUUGCUGAAAAGCCUCUUGACCCUGAAAAGUUCUGAAUAAUAAACUGAUAAAAGCAGCAGCAGCAUCUAACUUGACACCAGUCAUGUCAUUUGUAAGUAAGGUUGGUAAAUAGUAAUGAAAUUCAAGCAAUAUUUUCAGCUAUGAAGAGCUGCUCAAACCAAGCAAAGGCCAAGAUCUACUUUAAAUUUUGUCUACGUAUCUUUAAACAAGGCAUCUGUCUUGGGGGCAUUGUGUUAGCAUCUGUACCGGUAACACCUCAUCCAGGGUUGGCUUGAUAAGAGGCUUCACAUUUUUUGUAGAAUAAGAAAAAAACCUGGCAUUGUCACAACACACUGAUUUGUUCAUGCAGUAGUGCUUGGGGUCAAAAACUCUUGGAAUGACCAGGCAGAGUGGCUCACACCUGUAAUCUCUGCACUUUGGGAGGUCAAGGUGGGCGGAUCACUUGAGGUAAGGAGUUCAAGACCAGCCUGGCCAAUAGGGUGAAACCCCAUCUCUCUUUUUUUUUUAAAUUAUACUUUAAGUUCUAGGGUACAUGUGCACAAUGUGCAGGUUUGUUACAUAUGUAUACAUGUGCCAUGUUGGUGUGCUGCACCCAUUAACUCGUCAUUUACAUUAGAUAUAUCUUCUAAUGUUAUCCCUUCCCCCUCCCUCACGCUGCGACAGGCCCCGGUGUGUGAUGUUCCCCUUCCUGUGUCCAGGUGUUCUCUUUGUUCAAUUCCCACCUAUGAGUGAGAACAUGCAGUGUUUGGUUUUCUGUCCUUGCAAUAGUUUGCUCAGAAUUUUUUAAACCCCAUCUCUACUAAAAAUACAAAAAUUAGACAGGUGUGGUGGCGGGCACCUAUAGUCCCAGGUACUUGGGAGGCUGAGGCACUAGAAUCACUUGAACCAAGGAGGCGGAGGUUGGGGUGAGUUGAGAUUUCGCCACUGCACUCCAGCCUGGACAACAGAGUGAGACUCUGUCUCAAAAAAAAAAAAUAAAGAAAAGAAAGUAACAAAAGGUUUGAAUGCUCCUGCAAAUACAGUCAAACAGGGAUAAGUUCAACUGAGAUUUUUAAAAUUUUGUGAAAAGUCAGAUAAAGAGACAUCAUCUUCUCCUCCAAACAGAAAUGUCAUGACUGUGCUUGAGGGAUACUUUCAAGAUGACACAAAACCAGGUUUUUGGAGUGCUUUGAAGAUGGAGAAUGGCUUAUUAACACUAGUCACAUUGGCAGAUGUUUUUCAUAACAUCAACCAGUUGAAUAAGCCUCUGCACAGCCCUGGAGAAAAUGUUUUCACCAAAAAUGUCAAGAGUUUUUGGAUUUAAAAGAAAACUAAAGUUUUGGAAAAAACCAUGAGGCAAAAGAAAUCCUUGAGAUGUUUCCAUUGUUGCUUGGGCCUGGGGCCAUCAGUAAGUCUCAAUUCUUAUUGAGCAGAACCUGGCAGCACUGUAGAAUGAAACUGAACCAUACCUACCCUCUCUUUAAACACAAGUGCAUGACCAGGCGAGGGAGCGUUUCGUUGAAUCUUUGACUCAGUCUGAGAACAGAGUCUGGAGAGAAGAGGAAGAAUCCUGCACCCCAUGCAACCCCAGACUCUCUAGAUGGGACUCACAUAUCACUCUGGAGGCGAGUCCUGGGUUUCUGGGUAAGAGAGUGCUCUGUCAGCCUCAGGGAAACCAUGAACACUUCACUGCAGUUGCAACUUCCCGCACAUAGGAACAAAUUUUCUGUUAUUUAAUAAACACCAAGAGCAAGGGAAAAAGUUGUAGCCCUUCAGUUGACAAUGACAUCUGUGUGUACCUCAAGUUUGACUCAGAAUUGAAUUUUUAGGCAGCACAUGUGUCACAUUAAAGAAGGUCAAGUUGAUCACCAAUGACCAAUGGUUUAAUCAGUCACGGCUUCGUAAAAACUAAAAAGGACAGAAUUCAGAGGGCUUGCAGUUAGUGGAACACGUGGAGGGCCCUGGAGGGUGUCAUGCCCAGGACAUGAUAGCUCUGUACCCCAUCCCAUGUAUCUCACCAUAUGCAUCUCUUCAUCUGUGUCCUUUGCAACAUUCUUUAGAAUAAACCAGUAAAUGUGUUUCCCUGAGUCCUGUGGGCUGCUCUUGCAAAUUAAUCAAACCCAGGGAGAGUCGUGGAAACCCUGACUUGAUGCCAGUUGGUCAGAGUUCAGGAGGCUUGGACUUGCAACUAGGAGGAAGGAGGGGGUUGGGGACUGAGCCUACAACCAAUGGGAUUGGUCACUAUCUCCAGGUAGAUAGAGUUGGAAUUCAGUUGGAGGACACCCAGCUGGUGUCCACUGCUUGGUGGUGAGAAGAAACUCCCACACCUUUGGUCACAGAAGUCUUCUGUGUUUAUUGUUCUAGUGUGAGAACAGAGGAGAAGCCUGGUUUGAGUGAGUUUUUCCUGAAGCAAAAGGGAAGAGCUUAAUUUCAAAAGAAUAUCUUGAAAGACGCAUCAACUCACCAUUAGAAAACAUGAAACGACAGAUUAUAUCCUAAGAUUGUGUGAACCUCUUACCUGGAAACCCGUACAAUUGCUUUAUCUACCAAUCCUAAACUAUUAUAUCUUGAUCUUUACUCAAUCCUAAUUACACACCCACAUUGAAAGACCUAUCUUAAUUCAGACUUCAAAAUCUUACAAACGUCCAAGUCCCUCCUUUGAAAUGCUACUAAGACUGCAGUAAGAAUACAUAGCAUGCAGUGACUGAGAGGAAGAGAGAUACUAACACUUGAAGUAAUCCAGUCUAUCAAUAGGAGAUGGACUGCUUUGAUUUAAAGCGAUUUACAAAAGGAUUUGGAUACCUCAUCUCUCCUGUUUCGCCAAGGUCUUGACUCAUCGCUGCAGAUGACUAAAUCCCAUUGAGCUAAAUCUCCUGAGGUUUUCCUGGAGUUGGAAGAAUCCAUCUAUUUUGCUAGGGAAGCAAAGAGAUGAAAUUAUGAAGUUAUGAAAAUUAUAAUUUAUAAAUAAAAUUAUAAAAUUAUGAAGUUAUGAAAUUAUAAAUGGUGCCCAGAUGAACAACCACACUGAGUACAAAGGAUGGUGUCUGAGAUCACGGAGGUGGGCCUGCUUCAUUUCAUUUGACAGUGGCCUCAGAGUAAGCUUCGUUGAGAUGCUGGACCGUGACACGAAUGUGGCCAUUUCCACUGUCACCAAGCUCCCCUAGGUCUCCAUCAGCUUCAGUGACCUGGGCUCUUUCACUUCUCAGAGAUGCUCAUCUGUGCAUCUCCUGUCAGUUCUCGCUCUUUUUUUUGAGAUGGAAUCUCACUCUGUCGCCCAGGCUGGAAUGAAGUGGCACGAUCUUGGCUCACUGCAAUCUUCACCUCCCAGGUUCAAGUGAUUCUCCUGCCUCAGCCUUUCAAGUAGCUGGGAUUACAGGCGUGCACCACCAUGCCUGGCUACUUUUUGUAAUUUUAGUAGAGAUAAGGUUUCACCACGUUGGCCAGGCUGGUCUCGAACUCCUGAUCUUAAGUGAUCUGCCCGCCUUGGCUUCCCAAAGUGCUGGGAUUACAGGCAUAAGCCACUGUACCCGCCUCCUGUCAGUUCUCUUAAAAUAGCCGAGUGAUCUUUCCUUCCCAUUCAUCUGCUAUCUGUCUGCUGGCUCUUUCUUGCCAAUAAAGACUCAUUUUCUCCUAUCUAGACUUCUCUGGCAUGAGGAAUGAGCCAAUUUAAUGCAUGUCUUAGGUGGGAGUGUGGUGAGUUGCGGAAAGGAGGUUUGGGGAGCUGGAUUCUCUGUGAAAACGUGUAGCAAGGAGAAAGGUCACUGGGGAGAUUAUCAUCUGCAAGGCAUGAGAGGCUGUUCUAUUGUCAUUCACAUGUCAUCAGCCCAGUUAUUAAUACUUUCCUUCCUCUACCCCCUUGUCGUUGUUAAGGAGUUCCUUGGAAAAAACAAGUACUUUCCCUCCCCUGGUUGGUGUCUCUGUGUCUUCAAGAUACUGCCUAUUUUUUUGAGGUUUCAACACAAACAGAUCUAGUCAUGGCAAAAUGGUGACAUUAAUUCUGACUUCCCAGCUUCAACACUCUUCCCCUAAGAGGCAGAGAAUCCUAGCACAGUAAGGGGUCUUAAUGUUCUGGUCAACCCUUCUUGCCCACACUAGUCAUGGAAGUCUUUGUUGAAAUGCCCCCAGUGAAAGGAGGUUCAUUUCCACCCAAGGUAGCUCAUUCAAUUUUGCCACAACUGUGUGUGUGUGUGCGUGUGUGUAAAUGUGUGGGUGCAUGUGUGUAUGUGUGUGUUGGUCCAUGUGUGUGUGGCUUCCUCCACCCAUUAAUUGUAAUUCUAGCAGUUGGGGCCAUGAAGAAAAAUGCAACAACUCUUCUGGGCAGGAGGCUUUUAGAUGACUGAGUACUCUUUUGACAUGUUUCUUUAUUUCUUUACCAUCGAUCUCUUUCCUCCAGGAUUAGCAUAAUCAGUUCUUGUUUUUUUUUUUUUGUUUUUUUUUUUUUAUUUCUCUGAGAGGGACUCUUGGUCUAUCAGCCAGGCUGGAGUGCCGUGGUGUGAUCUGGGCUCACUGCAACCUCUGCCUCCCAGGAUCAAGCGAUUCUCCUGCCUCAGCCUCCCAAGUAAGUGGGAUUACAGGCAUGUGCCACCACGCCUGGUUAAUUUUUGUAUUUUUAUUAGAGAUGGGGUUUCACCAUGUUGGCCAGGCUAAUCUCAGACUCCUGAUUUCAAGUGAUCUGCCCACCUCAGCCUCCCAAAGUGCUGGGAUUACAGGCGUGAGCCACCACACCUGGCCAUUGCUUUUGUCUUCUUGCAGCUAUCAGUGUGUACUCCAAUGCUUCAUAAAUUUGAGUAAAAUGCAGAUUCCUUAAAAUAAAUCACAAUAUUAUGCUCUCUCUCUCUCUUCCCCUCUCUUUCUAUAUAUAUAUAUAUAUAUAUAUAUAUAUAUAUAUAUAUAUAUAUAUAUAUCUGAUUACUGACUGAAUUAGUUUUUAUUAUUUAAACCUAAGAUUUAAAACCCUUCUGUUCAUAGUCCUUAAACAUGAAACUUAAAAAUUAAGAUUAAGUGUAGAAUUAGCAAUUUAACAGGACAGAUUAAAAUGUGUUUUACUGAAGCCAAAUUAUUUUCAAUGUGAAGAUACUACUACUAUCAUAUAGCAUGCAUUUACAUUGUUUAUUGAUUCCUUGUUAUAACCCAAUUCUCCUACCAUUUGUUCUGUAUAUAAAAUGAGGAUACAAAAUGUAUUGUCUCCUCAAAGGGUUAGUGUGAGACUUGCACGAAAUCAUGCAUAUCAAGCACAAUGCUUAUUGCAGGAUAAUGGUCAAAAAUGGCAGAUAUUAUUACUAUAAUUGUUAUUGCUGGUGCUACGUUAUCAUUGGUGCUUUGUCUGCUUGCAGAUUCGAAUGGAAUACAAUAAAACCUUGCUGACAAACAUCUUUCAAGUUUAGGUCUAGUUUCCAGUCCCCAUCAUGACUUUUAAAAUUUGCUCUGAAAAUUCCUGGUCAUGACUCUUUCUAAAUUAAACAGACUUUCAAGUUGCAUAUUAAAACGUGGGUCACCUCAGGGCAAGCUAGAAAGCCAGGGAGGAGUUAUAAUGAUGUAUAAAGGACAUUCCAUGUUGCAUCUUCCUCUACUUCUCUGAAAGAGCUCAAAAUUAAUGUUCAGAAUCAAGAAAAUACUACGGACCUGUCUUCAAUAUCGUGGCUGCCCCAAGAUAGAUAAAGUUUUGAUUUUCUUUGUCUUUGAAUGUAAUACAUGGUAGUUCCUUGAAGGUUAAUGAACUGCUCACAGAGUUUUGGUAUAAUAAAUCUUUACACAAACUUUCAUGCGCGUCCGUGUGAAG